rnacentral:rRNA from 1 species
UACGUAGGGUGCAAGCGUUGUCCGGAAUUACUGGGCGUAAAGAGCGCGUAGGCGGCACUGUACGACCGGUGUGAAAGCCCCCGGCUCAACUGGGGAGGGUCACUGGUAACGGCAGAGCUUAUGAGUGCAGGAGAGGGAAGUGGAACUCCGGGAGUAGCGGUGAAAUGCGUAGAUGCCCGGAGGAACACCAGUGGCGAAGGCGGCUUCCUGGCCUGCGACUGACGCUGUGGCGCGAAAGCUAGGGGAGCAAACGGG